GACGAACGCUGGCGGCGUGCUUAACACAUGCAAGUCGAACGGAAAGGCCCUGCUUUGGUGGGGUGCUCGAGUGGCGAACGGGUGAGUAACAAGUGAGUAACCUGCCCUUGACUUUGGGAUAACUUCAGGAAACUGGGGCUAAUACCGCAUAGGCGCUCCUGCUGCAUGGUGGGGGUUGGAAAGUUUCGGCGGUUGGGGAUGGACUCGCGGCUUAUCAGCUUGUUGGUGGGGUAGUGGCUUACCAAGGCUUUGACGGGUAGCCGGCCUGAGAGGGUGACCGGCCACAUUGGGACUGAGAUACGGCCCAGACUCCUACGGGAGGCAGCAGUGGGGAAUAUUGCACAAUGGGCGGAAGCCUGAUGCAGCAACGCCGCGUGCGGGAUGACGGCCUUCGGGUUGUAAACCGCUUUCGCCUGUGACGAAGCGUGAGUGACGGUAAUGGGAGAAGAAGCACCGGCUAACUACGUG
rnacentral:rRNA from 1 species